UUCAGGUGCAGGAUCACCUUGGUGCCACGACCCAUUGGCUCAGCUGCACAGAGAAAAGAUAGGUGGUAGAGCAGGUUGGCCACUGAUCCCUGGGUUGGCAGUUCAAUCCCCUCAAUCCUAGAACCCAGAGUUGCAUCAGGAAGGACAUCCAGCACAAAAACCUAUGCUAAAUCAACUGUGUAAAUGGUGUUCCACUAUGGUGAUACCUAACCGGAGCAGCCGAAAGAAAACAACAGUUCUGUUUGUUCUCAUCUCAUUUUUACAGUUAACCAGACAUGUUAAGGGCCUGUGUGCACGACUGUGUUCAUUGGUCUGUGCAAGUAGUGACAGCGAGAAGUGACAGUGAGUCACUACACUGCCACACUUACAACGAACACUGCCAAUCACCUUCAGGUAAUGUGCAAGUUGUAAGUGUUGUGUUGUUGUAAGAGUUACAACCUAUAUUAUUAUACCAUGGAAUGAACACCACCACAAACCACAAGUCUCAAUAAAUGCCAUAGAGUUGAAUAAAUUAC